CGACAAUUCAUGUAUUAGUACUUGAGAUUCAGGUAUUAUCUUUUAACCCCUAAACAGCCACAGACCUUGUUUUUUUUCUUUCUUUCUCGUCGCUCUCAACUGUACUCUACGCAUCUGGAGGUCUUGGGAUUCACUGUUCCAGAGCCCUUUGGCUGAUGAGAGAGAGAGAGAGAGAGAGAGAGGGAAGGUUGGUGAUGGUGCUGACUGCUGAGCCCUUUCGCUCUUUGAAUCACUGAGUAAUUGAGCUUCUUCGAAUCGAAACGCAUGCCCAAUUCUCAAUGCUGUCCAUCAAGAAUAACGCCAUGGCGAGUAUUGUGAAGGUAUUGAUCAACUGAAUAAGUUUGAAGUCUGAUUCAACUGAGUGUGAAGGAAAAAAAACUACAACAAAGAAUAAGGUUCAAACCCGGGAAAUCGAUCAAGAUACCUGAAGACAUGAAAGGAAAAAAAGCACCGAUUAAACCAAAAAAACUCAACAAAAUAAAAGAAUCCAAAAUCGAAUACCCAGUGCCGGCUUCUGGACGAUGUGCCAUCAAACAGAAAUGAUGGAAAUUGUAAGUAAUGCAGAUGGUGAUGGGAGUCCGAACCAAAAUGAUCGGAAAAGGCUACGUCCUCCAAGUCGUUCCAAAACAUUCAAUAUUGAAACCAGCUAUGCUGCAAAAAUUCCGAGGUAUCCAGCUUUACCUCCUGAUCUCAUUACGAUGAAACUAAAUGUGAGACAAUGUUACCAGGGCCACCAGUGAUACUAAUGCAUCUCAGUAUGAAUAUCAGAUCACAAAUUACUGAUACAUAUUUCAAGAACUGAAGCUUUGCAAUCACUUGGUAAUUUGUUUUGUUUUUCCUACUUUUGCCAUCGUAACUAAUUCAGAAGUAAACACCAGGACAGAUGUAAUGGGUUGAUCUUUGCACCAUUUUCUUUUCCUUCUAUUGUGUUUUUUGGUUGCCGACAAGGUUGAAAUCAGAUACUACGUCUAAAGAAAUUUUAUCAAUUUUCAAGACACUACUAAUAUCCUUACCUGGUUCUUUGGACAGUUCUGAGAGGACUGCAUCUGCAGACUGGCUUUUUUCACCUUGAGGCAAAUUAAAGCUGCCACUAAUAACUUUGAUCGUGUAAACAACAUUGGGGAAGGCAGUUUUGGUUGUGUCGACAAGGUCUAUGCGAAUUCGUGGACUGUAAUUUACAUACCUUUGGACAAUGUGGGAAUGUGGAAUGUGAGAUAUGAGAAUUGGGCCUGACAAUACUUAGGCCAGCAGUUCUAUCUUCGUGUAUACUUCUGUAUAAUCACAUUUUACCUAUUUAAUUCUAAAAUUCUAAGCACACCAAGCAGCUUUUGACAGAAGAUGAAACUUCAGCAUUCUCGAGUCUCCAAUCGCUCUAAGCAUCGUUGAUUCUGAAUCAGAAAAUGCGACAGUGCCUUGGUUAUAUCUAGGCUGACCAGUUUAUUGUUGCAAUCAGAGAAACUUUUGGGAAUUUGAUGAUGUGCUUUAACCUGGUUGUCAUUGUUUGUCUUGGUGUUUGGGUAGCGCAGUAGCUGGUCAUCUCUUUCUAUGAGUGCAGCAAUUGGAUGUUCGCUGAAACAAAGACCGAGGUUCAUGUGCUUCCGUCCAUUUGGGAUCUUUACUUGGUUUCCCAGAGCAUUUUUCUCAGUUGUAUUUGCACUUUGUUUUGUGCUAUUUCAUUUUCAGUUUCAUGUUCAUUGUAAUUUUUCUUUCAUAAGAGGUAAGGCUAAUAUGUCCCCCUCUUCCAACUGUAGUUUGUUUCUUCAGACCAAA